rnacentral:rRNA from 1 species
CGAGUUGCACGUAUAACGUAGCAAACUGCUCAGUAACACGUGGCCAAACUGCCCUAUGGACCAGGAUAACCUCGGGAAACUGAGGCUAAUCCUGGAUAGUACAUCCAGCCUGGAAAUGGCGGAUGUAUCAAAUGCUCCGGCGCCAUAGGAUGUGGCUGCGGCCGAUUAGGUAGACGGUGGGGUAACGGCCCACCGUGCCGAUAAUCGGUACGGGUCAUGAGAGUGAGAGCCCGGAGACGGACUCUGAGACACGAGUCCGGGCCCUACGGGGCGCAGCAGGCGCGAAACCUUUACACUGCACGCCAGUGCGAUAGGGGGACACCGAGUGCGAGGGCAUAGAGCCCUCGCUUUUCUGUCCGUAAGGUGGUACAGGAACAAGGGCUGGGAAGACCGGUGCCAGCCGCCGCGGUAACACCGGCAGCCCAGUGAUGGCCGAUUUAUUGGGCCUAAGCGUCCGUAGCUGGCCGAGCAAGUUCGUCGGGAAAUCCACUCGCUUAACGAGUGGGCGUCCGGCGAACACUGUUCGGCUUGGGACCGGAAGACCUGAAGGGUACGUCUGGGGUAGGAGUGAAAUCCCGUAAUCUUGGACGGACCACCGAUGGCGAAAGCACUUCAGGAGGACGGAUCCGACAGUGACGGACGAAAGCUAGGGUCUCGAACCGGAUUAAAUACCCGGGUAGUCCUAGCCGUAAACGAUGCUCGGCUAGUGUGGCACAGGUUACGAGCCUGUGCUGUGCCGUAGGUAACCGUGAAUCGAGCCGCCUGGG